AGAUGAUGACGCUUCUACCAUGUUCUCUGUGAGUCACAUGGUCUUAUUUCCCUUUUUCUUCCUGUUAAUCUCAUUACAUGAAUUCUCAUCCGAUGUUUUGCAGCUUUUUCUUCUCCGAGCCGCUGGAUUCCUGCUGCCAUGCUAUAUAAUGGCAUGGAUCUUCAGUAUUUUGCAUCGCCGGCGACAAAAUGAGGUAUUUUUUUAAUCCAAUAUCAUUGGUGUCUCUCUCCAUUAGUUCAUGUGAACCUUUUUGUUGAAAUCAUUAUAUGUAUUAGAUUGUAUCCUCUUAACCAUUGAGAAGCAUCUAACCUUUCAGUUUUUUUAUUAUUGGCAGGAAGCGGCCUCAAUUGCCACGGCAGAGGUGGCAUUCAUCCUGCAAUCAGCCCAGGGCCGUGCCCUUCAGUUUACCAUCGCUCCAGACCCCCCAACCACUCCACAGCAUGAGCCACACCAGCAGCAACAGCAAUAGUUCAACAACCCAGUAGUUCCCCAAGUACCUGGCACUAUGUGCGCUUGAAGAUGUAGGUCCGGGUGCCUAUUCUGUUGUUGGUACUGGCUCAUCAGGAAUGCUAGGAAGCCUUCCUGUGGCCAAGUAAAAACCUCGUACGAUGUCACUGUCUUAUUUGUCUCGAGCAAUGCGACUAAAUCUGUCUGUCUGAAUGUAAUUUAAGCAUUGAUUUAAUGUAAAUUUAAUAUGUAUUACCUUACUAUUUUGGUGCAACCCGUGUCAUGUGCUCUGAGCGAAAUAUGUGUGUGCUGCGCAAUGCUUUAUAUGGGUAACCUGUACCUAA
rnacentral:lncRNA from 1 species